rnacentral:rRNA from 1 species
AGCGAACGCUGGCGGCAGGCCUAACACAUGCAAGUCGAACGAACUCUUCGGAGUUAGUGGCGGACGGGUGAGUAACACGUGGGAACGUGCCCUUUGGUUCGGAAUAACUCAGGGAAACUUGUGCUAAUACCGAAUGUGCCCUUCGGGGGAAAGAUUUAUCGCCAUUGGAGCGGCCCGCGUCUGAUUAGCUAGUUGGUGAGGUAACGGCUCACCAAGGCGACGAUCAGUAGCUGGUCUGAGAGGAUGACCAGCCACACUGGGACUGAGACACGGCCCAGACUCCUACGGGAGGCAGCAGUGGGGAAUCUUGCGCAAUGGGCGAAAGCCUGACGCAGCCAUGCCGCGUGAAUGAUGAAGGUCUUAGGAUUGUAAAAUUCUUUCACCGGGGACGAUAAUGACGGUACCCGGAGAAGAAGCCCCGGCUAACUUCGUG